UUCUGGCCGAGUGGUUAAGGCGAUGGACUUGAAAUCUAUUGUGCUCAGCACGCGUGGGUUCGAAUCCCACUCUCGUCGAAU